AUGCUUAGCUGGAAGAGGAGAUACCACAAUUGUGAAGGUGGUUUUCUUGGGGUAAGGCUCACCCAUUGCAUUAUGGGUCUGCUGACCCCUGCAAUUUCCCCAAAUGUGGGAAAUACAACUGAACAGUUUGUGGUAGUGGGGGACUGUGUUUGCGCUCUCCCCUG